GCCAUGUGGGGGCAGACGGCAAAGGGUGGCACCAGCCCCUUUUUAAUUUAUUUUUUAUUAUAUCCAGCAUUUUUAACAAUAAUCAGGAUAUAUAUAUAUAUCCUGAUUAUUGUUAAAAAUGCUGGAUAUAAUAAAAAAUAAAUUAAAAAGGGGCUGGUGCCACCCUUUGCCGUCUGCCCCCACAUGGC
rnacentral:pre_miRNA from 16 species